GGGCUCGUAGCUCAGAGGUAGAGCAAUGAGCUUUUAACUCAUUGGUCGUGGGUUCAAUUCCCACCGAGCCCUCCA
rnacentral:tRNA from 1 species